AUGUCAUGAUGUGGGCAUUUUCUUAGUAAUUCCUUGUACUUCUCCCAAGUAUCAGAGACUGCUUCAUCAUCAAUUUGUCUAAAAGACAAAUUUCAUUUCUAAAAUU